CUAUUUCCUUUUCGCGCCUUGAGAUGUGGUCUGGUGGGAUAUCGGGUAAUCGUCCGAAAGUCGUUUAAAUAUUAGUUAUAUAUCAUGUGUACAUAUAUAGUCAUAAAAGGUCCUUCCAGUUCAACAUAUGCCCUUGGGUAGCAAGGGUAUACAUCCAUGUCCAUACUUACCAGAUAGAUUACUAGUAAACUACCAUAUGGGUAGUUUAGGAAGAUACUAGAACAAUUACUAGAACACGAUAUCAUACAAAUGAGUCAGUUCAUUCAUGAGUCAAUACCUUCUAGAACAUUACAGUACAUUACUAUACUUGCUAGAUAGAGAGAACACACAUUACAGCUAGCACACGUAGAACAUUACAGUACAUUACUAUACUUGCUAGAUAGAGAGAACACACAUUACAGCUAGCACACGUAGAACAUUACAGUACAUACUAUACUUGCUAGUUAGAGAGAGCACACAUUACAGCUAGCACACGUAGAACAUUUCAGUACUCUACUAUACUAUUACAUGAUCACACUUUCUGGAGUACUUUUACAUAGAUAUACCAGGAGGAGUGCUGUUACAUUUUAUAUGUAUCGACUCUGUUGUCAAAUCCUCGUUCUUAUCUUUACCUUGUAAUAUAAUCACAUAGUUGACGAGAUAGAUUGGAUUUAAUAUCCUAGUACCAAAUGAUACAUUGUGGGAUUGACCAUUCCUAGAAUCUCUGUUAGCUACAAAGGUAAAAGCACAUCCACGGAUGUCAACGGUUGGUACCAUUAUAGGUAUACUUUAAGGGACUGACUAUUCCUAUACCCAGCUGUUAGCAACAGAGGUAAAAGUACGUCUACGGAUGUCUUAAAGUUAACAAUGUUAGUUACCCUAGUACCAAAGGGUAAUAUUUAGGUUAGUUGUAUUAUUACCUUUAUUUUGUGACUCAUUCACAUAACCAAUGAGGUGAAUUAUAUUUAAGUAUCCUAGUACCAAAGGAUACAAUUUCUUAUAAUGAUAAUAAUAGUAACACAGUUAAGUCUUGGUAGAAGACUACGAUCAGANCAAACUAUAUUUUUGGAUAAUGAUAGUUAUACUUUGGAAAAUACAUACUCUUACAAGAGACACACAUUCAGAACAGUUAGGUCUUGGUAGAAGACACCUUCAUAUACUAGUAGGAAUCAUAGGGAUUCUAGGGUUUUUCAAACACUUACAGUUCAUAUACACUUUCAAUACUUACAAUACAUAGACUUACAAAUUCUUACAUACAAACACUUACAUACAAAUUAAGACACUAAAUACUUAUGAUCUCACCAGCUUUAAAGCUGAUACUCGCUUUCAAAAUUACUUGUAUCCUCAGGUCAUCAUAGACAGGUACCGAUGCAAGGAGAAAGGAAGAUGGAGCUUGUUCAAGACUUAUCUUUCAUUUUGAUUUAUGCUUUAGUGUUUAUCAAAAUUUGACAGAAUACAAUUGUAUAAUAAUUAUUUUAUUAAUGCAAUGGAUGAUGUUGUUGCUUGUUUACUACUUUACAUUGUUGUUGAUAUUAUACAUGACGUCCUCCGCCCCAGAACGUUUCCGCCGUUCUUGGUUUUGGGGUGUGACAGAUUGGUAUCAGAGCAUUGUUUAUAGUGAAUUAAGUAUAUCAACCCAUAAAAGAUAUACUAACUAUAAAUACAUAAGGGAUUAAAAAUACUCUGACCAAGAGUUUAUACUUUAAAUAGUAAAAUAUUUAAGUAAGUAUACGUGCUGCAUUCAUACUAAAAUCAGUGUCACUAGGACAGUACAAAAGAAUUACGAUUGUUGGGCAACACAAGUGGGCAUAGAGACAUAUGGUCAAAACUGGGAAGAUAUAGCCUGAUCACCUAUAUUAUCCGAGAGUUGACUAGCAUGUUCCUAAGUUUAAGUGUGUGGUUGCAAUAAUGCUAAAAUCUUACCAACCCUACCACAAUGAGAACAAUAGAACAUAACACUAAAAUUUAAAUACUAUAGGAGUAUUUGGUGUUACUAUAAGUACUUUGCAACCAGUAUCUUCCGAAUGAAGUCAUAGCUGGUUGGUUUGGAGAAGAACCAGAGAAUGAUCAUCCUGUUCCCCUUGAAUGAUCACCAUGAUGAAGACCUUUCGUAUGAUGCUAACUCCGAACCAGAGGUUGAAAACCUACCCCGAGCAGCUCCCUUUCCUAUUCCUAACCCUCGUCCGGCUUUUCAUGGCCCGACCCCUGAGAGAGUGGAAUGCUUGGAAAUAUGGAGCCAAGGACAAGAUCAACCCAUGCCAUUCAAUGGCGACCGAAGCUUUUACGACUUGAGCAAUGGGGGGCUCAGUAGAUAGAGUCUAUCUGAAUCAUGCUUUAGUCAAGUCAUUGGACUAUAGUGAUUUAUCUCCGGAGACAUUUCCAAGUCUCUUUUAGUGGUUGGAUCUUAUUAUUCACCAACCCACAAUACCUCAGCUUGAACGAAAAACGUUUUAAGACCACUCUACGAACUUUCUUUUACUUAUUACUAGGACUGCAUCAUAGGGAUGUAGGUCAAAUCUGCGCGAACAUACUUCUACUCUUUACAUGAACAAUGUAAGUACAUCAAGGUCAACCAUAAUCGCUCACAAAAUCCUUAUCUUGCGUGUUACAGGAUCAUGUCGUCAUCCGGAAACAACCAGCCAAGCAACGAGACCUCUACUUUUCCUAUGGACGCCAAUACUUUUCAAGCCACCAUUACAGCUGCUGUGAUGGCUGCCGUGACCGCAGUCCUGGCAAACCGCAGCAUUACCAAUGCAGGCAAGGCUGAAAAAGGAGUUGACAAUCCCGAUCGUAUUAAUGAUCCGGGAAUCAACAAAUAGUAACAGUCGCCACCACCCAAAACAACAACUUAGAGUUCAAGAAAAGAAAACGUCAAGCCAAAGUGGAACGCAAACGGUUUCAGAGAAUUGCCAGGCCCCAGCCACAAACCUCUGCCAUCCCAGUACCGAGCAGACCAUAUAAAGGAACACUCCCGAAGUGCGACCAGUGCAACCACCACCACAAGGGAAUUUGCCGAGCCUGGCAAUGCAAUAAUUGCAACAAGAUGGGACACAUUGUUCGUUUCUGUAGAAUUACCUCCAUCACUGGAGCAAGCCUACUUUGCUAUAGUUGUGGUGAGGAAGGGCACUAUUACAGAAAUUGCCCAAAAGGGGAGAUCAAUGAAAGCAGUCGUGUCCCCAUAACUCCUACUCGACACUUCAUUUCCUCCACUUAUGUGGGUACUAUCCAGAUAUGUCACCAAUGCGGUGAGAUUGGACACCUCAAGAAAGAUUGCCUGAUAACGCAGAACUCUGGCGCAGACGGGAAAAUUCUCAGGAUCACAGUUGCAGGAGAGCCUGCUCCGGAACCACGUUAAAUGUGACUUAGGCGUGUUGUUGUAACAGACUUAUAAACUAUCUAGAACUAGUGCAACUAGAGUCUUACCUUAUGCGAGAUCCUGUCUAUAUAGGAAUUCUCGUGCUGCGUAAACUUGUCUUUGGUAGUAUAUCUUAUUCGCAGCAAUGGUCUUUUGGUAAAUCUAAUGUACUGUAACUCUGUUCAUGGUUGCACGGUUGUGUUUUGUCUGUAAUCGUCUUGUGUUCGAAUCUAAUGUCUUUAAGUUUCAGUAUGAUUCCGACAUUUUCAUACGACUCGAUUAAAUUUGAUCCUCACGAAAAUAGCUUUUUACGUACAUCUCUUUCUUCUAGAUCACAUUUCCAGCAAAGCCGUCAUAUCAGAACACCGAAGUACUCAUGCCAGGAAUACCUCUUAGUUAUUUUCUUUCCGAAGAAAUCCCCAAAGUACCACUCGUGCAGUACGUCAAGUUCAAUCCAAGAAUUCAUGCAGAUGAUCUAUCAAUGAGGAAUGUAUACAUAAGAGUGUUAUAUAAUCAAGGUUCUACAGGUUUAGAAUUGAUGAUUUCACCUUAACUCUUUUCCUCAUUGGGAUGUGAGGAUAAGGAAGAAUCAGUUAUUCGACUACCUUUUCAAUCUUAAUUAUAUACGACUCGUAUACACGAGAUUGUGAUCGUGAAGCCCUGUAUGAAUUCUAAAAUGGACUUCAGGACGAAGAACUGCCGAUGUAUACGCGUAAUCGCAUCGUCAUGAGAACAAACUUAGAACCCAAUACGACUCCCCAAAAACAGAUCGCCCUAUAGUUUAAACACCCACAGAGAUACCAGAACAAUGCAAACAACUAAGCGAACUACACAGAAAUACACUUAGAAGACUAGGUUUCUCACCCUAGAGAACCCCAGUUGUAUUCUUCCAGAGAACGACGGAUCGCAUUGUAUGUACCUCGGUUAUUGAGGACUCCGUCAAGAUUUUCAUAGAAAUCGUUGUCUCUGCCUCGCAUAGAGGAAAUGGUUGAGAAAACGCAAGGAAAGAAACUACUUCCAGGAAUGGAUCUGAGAUCCGAAUAUCACCAGUACGAGUGUUAGGGAAGGAUGUCCCGAGGACUAUCUUCCGAACUCGAUGCGGACACUUCGAGUCCGUAGUGAUACCCUUUUCGGAUAGGACCAAUACGCCCNUUACGUCUUUCUUACUUGGAUCAAUUCGUCAUUUCUCCAUGAAAUGACUUACUUAUCUACCCUCGUAGUAAGAAGAAAGCCCAUGGGAACAUUCCUUCAGAGGAACUUCUCGUGAAGUUCUCUAGGCACGAGUUUUGAAAUUGAAGAGUCAAAUUUCUAUGUCACACUGUUAGUAAUGUGAGAAAUUUUUAGCACUCUUUCAAUUUGCCAGAACCGUUGAGCAUUUAUCGACACCAGAGACGCCGACAGUCUUUCGCCAAAUUCUAGGUCUUACCGACCUACCGCCUUAGUUCAUUCAGAACUCCUCGCAAGCUACAGAAACUCGUACGACUUUGACCCAGCAAGGGGUGGCCUUUGACUGGGAAGUUACGCAAGAAAAGGAACCUUUGAGAUUCCAAGUGAGUGACCAAGUUCUUUAGGAUAACUCACUCUGGGAAUGGCUUAAUACGCUUCGUAAAGCGUGGAAAGCUAAAUCCAAGUUAGACAGGACCUUAGAGAUUCUUAUCAGAAUCGGUCCUAUGCCUUGCACAAACUAGACCUACUCCGCGAACUCAGUAACAUACUUUCUACUCUUCGCAUCUUGAUCGUGAAACCAUACCUUUCCAUUAGGACUCUUGCAAAUCCACUCGUCGAGAUCCUCACCUUCGUAUUAGAACCGUAGUGACCCUCGACCGAGAGGUCAAGCGGACGAAGCAACGCUGUCGCCAGUUAGUGAAGGUUCGUUGGAAUGCCAACCGAGAGCUUGUUUACACUUAGGUGCGCUAGAACCAAUCGAUUAAGAAGUUUCCUCCUCAAGACUCGAUCAUUCAUGCAUACUUCCUUGCCUAAAUUCUAAUUUCGGGACGAAAUUCCCUUUAACAGGGGGAUGAUGUGACAACCCGAAAUUUCCAUUCUGAACAAACCAUAUCAAGCCAAUAGAUGUAGAUCAGUUACAGUGAAAAUUCAGACUCCGAGUGUAAGUUAGGCAGUUUUCAGGAUUUACACUUAAGAAGAUAUUAGGAGAGUGGUUGCACUAGGGUUUUGUGCAACACUAUUAUUCCAUUACUCUAAAAGAUUAGAGUUCGUUCCAGGAAUAAAAAUAUUUUUUGCUAAAAAUAUUUCAGGACUAUAAAUAGAAUUCUGAACCAAAUUGGUUCAUUAAUUGAAUUCCAAUUAGAGAAAAGCCAAAUUCUCUCUCACGGAUCUUCGGGUUUUUAUCCCAAAUUAUGAGUAACUCUUCCUAGUAGUGUUAGAAAGCUUUUAAUGUAUUGAAAACAUAGAUUACAUAGCUAAAUCAUCCGAUUUAGGAGUUUACUCCCCAAGGUGUUCUUGGGCGGUAAACUCCCGAAACCGAGCCUAGAUUGUCCCCUGUGCUUAGUAACUACCUUGGACAUGUAUAGGAGUGUUUUAGGUACAAGAAAUCAGCCAAGAAACACCCAAGUUUAGGAGUUCACGGCCCAAGAAUAGCUUAGGCCGUAAACUCCCUUGAAACAUGCUCAAAUGGUGUUUUUAAGGCACCUAAAGCUUGGACUUUAUGUUAGACAAAUACCCUAAAGUGUUUAGGACCUAGAAAACAUAAGGAAAACACAAGUGUUGAAGAGUUUACGGCCAAGAGUAAUUCUUGGGACGUAAACUCCUAUUAAGGGGUCAAAGGACACCCUAAAUCCUUCCUUAGGCCAUGAGACAAUUUGGGCAUGUACCUAGAUGAGUUUUGGACUAGUUAAAAUACUUAGAACACCAAUAGUGAGGGAGUUUAUGGCCCAAAAGGUUCUAUGGCUGUAAACUCCAUAAAAUGGUGCUAAAUGUGCCAUAAACCCUCCAAAAGCCAAGUACUAAAGUCUAGAUUUGUUCCUAGAAAUGUUUGAGACUUGAAAGCACCAUAAGAACCCUCCUAAGGGAGUUUACGGACGUAAACUCCAAGGGAAUAGGGUCUUUGGGCCGUAAACUCCCCAAAGGAGUCAAUAUGGUGCCCAAAAACUUGUUUAAGCCUUGAAACAAUUCACCACAUGAGUUGUAUAAUUGAUAGACUUCAUUUAGGGGCUUGUUGAGAGUUUACGGCCAGGAGCUUACUCCCCUAGGCCGUAAACUCCAAGACAUAUGGUCUUUAGACCAUAAACUCCCAUUAAAGGCAUUACACUCCUUUGUUGCAACCCUUUAGCCUCCUAGCACUUGACCAAAAGUGUUUUCCUCGCGCUUAAAUGUUAUUACUUGUAUAAUUAGUGAUUUAAUCUCUAAUUAUUUAUAUACAUAUGUCUUCAUAUGUAAUUAGGAUCAUUGUGUGUGUCUAAGUCUUCACUUGACACCAAGCACUUGUCCGAUCCUUCCGUACGAUAACAGUCCGUUCAAUUCCAGUCACUUACUGCAGGUGAGUUCAUACCCCUUAACUAAUGUUUUAAAUUAUUUUAAAUGUUUUAUGGGGGGGAUACAAGUAGAAUCAUGCUACUUCUCACAUCAAUCACAUGUGAUUAAUAUAUAGCAUUCAAAUGAUUUGGUUACUCAUUAGCCGUUUUACCAAACAGUUUCCUUCAAAUGAAUUGUUAUAAACAUUUUAUAUGUUUUAAACUCUUUAUUACACUGUACAUCUUACUCCGUACAUUACCUUUCAAACUUAUUUACAACUGUGUUUCAAACAAAUGUUUCCUUAUACUUAAACAGUUUUAUCAAAAUUUAUGCCUUCAAAUUGUUUUAUAGAUUGACAUCAAGUCAAUCUUUUCUUAAAAUAAUAUUUAUGUUUCAAAUGUCUUACAAAACUUAUUUAUGCUUUUAUAUUAUAAAUUGCAUGCCUCUAUAUGUAUAGUUAUAUAAGAAAUGUUUAAAAGACUUAGGAAGGCUAUCCACCCUAUUUCCUUUUCGCGCCUUGAGAUGUGGUCUGGUGGGAUAUCGGGUACUCGUCCGAAAGUCGUUUAAAUAUUAGUUAUAUAUCAUGUGUACAUAUAUAGUCAUAAAAGGUCCUUCCAGUUCAACAUAUGCCCUUGGGUAGCAAGGGUAUACAUCCAUGUCCAUACUUACCAGAUAGAUUACUAGUAAACUACCAUAUGGGUAGUUUAGGAAGAUACUAGAACAAUUACUAGAACACGAUAUCAUACAAAUGAGUCAGUUCAUUCAUGAGUCAAUACCUUCUAGAACAUUACAGUACAUUACUAUACUUGCUAGAUAGAGAGAACACACAUUACAGCUAGCACACGUAGAACAUUACAGUACAUUACUAUACUUGCUAGAUAGAGAGAACACACAUUACAGCUAGCACACGUAGAACAUUUCAGUACUCUACUAUACUAUUACAUGAUCACACUUACAGGAGUACUUUUACAUAGAUAUAUCAG
rnacentral:lncRNA from 1 species